rnacentral:lncRNA from 1 species
CGGAGCAAAGCAUGAGGGAAUACAAACUUAUACAUGUGAAGUACGGGCCUUUAAGACUAAAAUAGCCACUCGUGUACUGAACAUGGGCCGACAAGGCCAUACAAUCUUUUACGUGCACGACAUCUAUCAACAAGCCUCUAAGAAUACAUAAUUUUUAUAACGGUCGGAACAGAGUCCGACCAUACCAAACAAUACCUGUCUAAAUCAUACUAACCAAUCAAGUAACUCCGAAGCAAAUGGAGCGCACCAACAUCUUCCGCUGAGCUGAUAGCCUACUUGGAGGGCUCUCGACUUGUCUAUCGGGACAUGCAUGCAUGAAACGCAGCGUCCCCAAGGAAAAAGGGACGUCAGUAUGAAUAAUAUACCGGGUAUAUAAGGCACAUAAAUAAGUACAUAACAUACAUGGAAGAAACAUAGAGUAAAUGACUCAACCUGUAAGUCUGGAUAACUUUGUAAAUCAUGAAAUACUUAUAAUGUCAUGCAUAUGUGUAUGGAUAUCAUGUCGUGCAUAGGUACAUGUUUCAUAACAUCAUCAGGCCUCUGAGGGCAUCCAUCAUAUCAUCUCGGCCACUCUUGGCAAAAUCAUCAACGUAUACCAUCUGAUUAGGUGGUGGUGCGUAUAUAACGUCAUAAUCUUUCCCAUAUCUCAUAUACAUAUAUAUACAUAUAUAUACGC